GAUGAACGCUGGCGGCGUGCCUAAUACAUGCAAGUCGAGCGAACAGACGAGGAGCUUGCUCCUUUGACGUUAGCGGCGGACGGGUGAGUAACACGUGGAUAACCUACCUAUAAGACUGGGAUAACUUCGGGAAACCGGAGCUAAUACCGGAUAACAUGUUGAACCGCAUGGUUCAACAGUGAAAGACGGUCUUGCUGUCACUUAUAGAUGGAUCCGCGCCGCAUUAGCUAGUUGGUAAGGUAACGGCUUACCAAGGCAACGAUGCGUAGCCGACCUGAGAGGGUGAUCGGCCACACUGGAACUGAGACACGGUCCAGACUCCUACGGGAGGCAGCAGUAGGGAAUCUUCCGAAAUGGGCGAAAGCCUGACGGAGCAACGCCGCGUGAGUGAAGAAGGUCUUCGGAUCGUAAAACUCUGUUAUUAGGGAAGAACAAAUGUGUAAGUAACUAUGCACGUCUUGACGGUACCUAAUCAGAAAGCCACGGCUAACUACGUG
rnacentral:rRNA from 1 species